rnacentral:rRNA from 1 species
GCGGAUGGAGCUAUUGGGAGUCGCAGAUACCAGGUGGCUGCAACUGUUUAUUAAAAACACAGCACUGUGCAAAAUCGUAAGAUGACGUAUACGGUGUGACGCCUGCCCGGUGCCGGAAGGUUAAUUGAUGGGGUUAGCGCUUGCGCGAAGCUCUUGAUCGAAGCCCCGGUAAACGGCGGCCGUAACUAUAACGGUCCUAAGGUAGCGAAAUUCCUUGUCGGGUAAGUUCCGACCUGCACGAAUGGCGUAAUGAUGGCCACGCUGUCUCCACCCGAGACUCAGUGAAAUUGAAAUCGCUGUGAAGAUGCAGUGUACCCGCGGCUAGACGGAAAGACCCCGUGAACCUUUACUACAGCUUGGCACUGAACAUUGACCCUACAUGUGUAGGAUAGGUGGGAGACUUUGAAACUUGGGCGCCAGUUCAAGUGGAGUCAACCUUGAAAUACCACCCUUGUAGUGUUGAUGUUCUAACUUAGACCCCUUAUCGGGGUUGAGGACAGUGCCUGGUGGGUAGUUUGACUGGGGCGGUCUCCUCCCAAAGAGUAACGGAGGAGCACGAAGGUGGGCUAAACACGGUUGGACAUCGUGUGGUUAGUGCAAUGGCAUAAGCCCGCUUGACUGCGAGAAUGACAAUUCGAGCAGGUGCGAAAGCAGGUCAUAGUGAUCCGGUGGUUCUGAAUGGAAGGGCCAUCGCUCAACGGAUAAAAGGUACUCCGGGGAUAACAGGCUGAUACCGCCCAAGAGUUCAUAUCGACGGCGGUGUUUGGCACCUCGAUGUCGGCUCAUCACAUCCUGGGGCUGAAGUCGGUCCCAAGGGUAUGGCUGUUCGCCAUUUAAAGUGGUACGCGAGCUGGGUUUAGAACGUCGUGAGACAGUUCGGUCCCUAUCUGCCGUGGGCGUUGGAAGAUUGAAGGGGGCUGCUCCUAGUACGAGAGGACCGGAGUGGACGAACCUCUGGUGUUCGGGUUGUGAUGCCAAUCGCAUUGCCCGGUAGCUAAGUUCGGAAUCGAUAAGCGCUGAAAGCAUCUAAGCGCGAAGCGAGCCCUGAGAUGAGUCUUCCCUGGCACUUUAAGUGUCCUAAAGGGUUGUUCGAGACUAGAACGUUGAUAGGCAGGGUGUGUAAGUGCUG